UUCCGAGGAGGCGGUGCUGGGGCGGGCGCAGGACUGCAGGCUGGGGCUCCGCUCCCCGGCGGGAGCCCGCGCGUGGUUCCCAGCGAAGUCCCCGCGCGGCUGGGCCCAGCGUGAGUAUUCUCCGCCCGCUGUCCUCCCCCUGGAGGCGGCAGCGCCCGUUUAUUUGAGGAGGAUGAGGCUGUCACUACUACAGUUGGGACUGUUUCAUACUCCGUGCUCUUGUGCUAUGCCAGGGGGUACUGUCUAACCCACAAGUCUCUGCCAGGAAUGUUGCUGUCCACACUGGAGUGUAAGACACCUGCGGAGCUCGUCUAUGGGGCUCAUGUUGGCUGAGGCUCUGAACUACAGAACUGCAAACAACCAAGGGAGCGCCCCAGGCCCCAGGCUUCUAAUGUGAGGAAAAACACGGAAUGACAAGUGUGGGAAAGAGCAAGCACUAAAUUACUGUCAGAAAAAUAAACGGAGUAGCACAGUGCUGCUCGGUGAUUUACGGGGGCAAUUAGUCACCACCCCACGGCGCUGCUGAGGACAGCACGGCAGCAGACAAGUCAGGCCCAUGAGGAAGAAGAGGCUUUGCACUGCUCUCCAGACAACUUUUCAAACAACAAGAGAGGAUAUUUGAGCACAUUAGGUUUUGUGUCUUCAUUCUGGGUACCUACUCUUCAUAUUAUUCUACCAACUUAAUACAUAAACAUAUUUUUAGCACAAUAUGAACCUGUUCUAUGUGUGUUUAAAAGCCUCCAGCAGCAACUUUUUUCUCUCCCACUGUCCAAAGUUGGGUUUUCCCCAUCCCUUAAAAAACAAAACAAAAAAACCUUUCUUCACUCCAAAUUGUCCCCCUGGUGUGUGGUUUUGGUCUUUCUCAUUACUUCUUGCAUCUUGCUACAUGUUCUGCAUUUGCUCAGAGCCACUGGGUGCUAAGGAAUUUGGUCUGCUGCUCCUCUGGGAAAGUUUGGUAAGCUGGUACAAGGAGGUGAUGAACAAGGCUAAAUGAAAAUCAUACAUAAACUUCCCAAUAUUUGUGAACAUGUUCUUUAACAUACCAUACAUAGUUUCUAUGUAUAUGUAACAUAGCAAAACAAACUUGCUAAGGUAUAAUUAAUUGGUAUGCAUGCCUUCAUAAAUAUUCACCAUCAGAAGAAACCUAGAAUGAAAGGUUGUGAAAGAACCCAGGAAUGAGAAAGACUUUAUUGACUAAAGGCCAUGUCUAUGUAGGGGCAACAAUGAAGCUGUGGGUGAGCAAAUGAAGCUUCAUCAGGAGUUUAGUAUCCUUAUGUAGCAUUACCUAAGAAUGCUACCAUAGUAAAUUUCUGAAGUACUUUACCUGUUACAAAGAACGUUUGUAAUCUCCUUUUCUUAUUUGAUCUUGCCCUGGCUUUAGUCAGGAACACCUGCUCAGUUAGAAAUGUAUUCGGUGGGUAUGUACGCAGUUGGAGAAUGUGCCCCAACACACGCCGCCUUUGGCCUGUAUGUUGGAGUCCUAGAGAGGCAGACAAUGUUGAUGAGCUUGGUACCAGCAUGGUGCGCCAUUCAUCCGGACACAAUUUCUGAUAAAGAGGGUCACAACUGGGAGAAACCUCAGAUUCUACUUGCUUCUCUUCUCCACGUUAUUAGACUUUUUUUCCCCUCUUGAAUUUUAUAAGCACACUCCUUUUAAAACAAUUAAUUAAUAACGAGCACUGGGAUUUGAUGUAGAAUUGCGUAUUUGUAACUGCAAUGGCACUGGUUUUCAACUACCCUGUAACAAGGAAGCAAUUCUAACCAGCAAAAGAGGCAGACGUGUUUCUGUGCAACAUCACAGGCGUGUGAAAUUGUUCAGAUAUUGAGAUAUCAGGAGUGAUAUAAAUUGGAAAUUUAACCAAAAAUAUUUUCCAUCAGUGAACAAAGCCGAUUUUAAAGUGCCUCUUGCAUUUUUCAGAUCUUUCUCUUUCUUUUUCCCAAAGUCACAUUGUAGUUUCUGAUAAAGGAACACACUGGGAAAACUAAGCACAUAUUUAAUCAAUGAAAUUUAAGGUGUAAAAAUUCUGCAUUUCUGACAAAUUUAAUGUUCACUUUUUUCUUGAUUUAAAUAGAGCAUUCUAAAAAUAUUACCCCUAUAGGGGAUAAAUUUUUAUAUGCAUGUUAUUUUUCUUUACAAAGUGUGGGCUAGUAAAGAGUGAAAAAGACCUUGGCUAUUGUACUUAUUUCUUGAAAGAAAUAAUAGCAUCUUAAUGACUGGAUUCAAAUCUCUGCUUAUCACACAACUUCCGUACAGUUCAAAGAGAGGACUUGGAUUGAAUGAAAACAGAGAGCUGGGGCUUCCUACAUUCCCCUGUGUUUGUGUUCAUACAGAAUAUUUAUGCAAUAUUCUGACUUGGCCAUAAUCUGUAAUUCCUGCCUAUUAUUCUCAGUUGCAACUAUAAAUUCUAGAUUAAUGGUUAUAAUUUUGGUAAGGCAUACAUGAAAAGUUAUAUGUUCCUGCUUGAAAGGAGGAUCAUUAAAUAUUCAUUAUUACCACUCAAAUUAGUUGUCAUGCUCUGUGUAAUAGUUACCCGUUAUCAUUUCACUAGUUUGGAUUCAGCAGUAAGUGAACAGCAAUAUAUAGCUCAUAGCGCCAGAGGACUUUUUUUGUCGGGGAACAGGGAGAGAAAUGAUUUUAAAACCCAUUUGACAUAUUUAUGUUGACAAAUUAUUUAAAGGAAUUACUGUGUUGUAAUAAACAUGUUUGUAUGUUGGAAUAGGAUUGUGGCUAAAUUUGCUUCUAGCUGUUUAAUUACUCUUAUUAUGAUUGUGAAAAACAGUGCUUCUUCAAGUAGUUCCAAGGAAAAAAAUAGAAAAUGGAAAAGUUGAGCUAUUUCAGUCUUUUGCAGGUAUCUAACCUUGCCAUGAAAAAGCACUUUUCAUUUUUGUAAGUAGAUAUUGAAAUCUUGCUUUUUCAGCGAAGCUAGAUUGUAUAAUUUAUUAGUUUUCUCCACCUGGUAACACAUCCUUAAGAAAAAAAUUGCCAAAAGUAAAGCAUGAGAUGGAUUUUAAAAUAAAUGUUGUGGAUGAACAC
rnacentral:lncRNA from 1 species